GAUGAAGAACGUAGCGAAAUGCGAUACUUGGUGCGAAUUGCAGAAUCCCGUGAACCAUCGAGUCUUUGAACGCAAGUUGCGCCCGAAGCCUUUUGGCCGAGGGCACGUCUGCCUGGGUGUCACGCAACGUCGCCGCCAGCACACCCUUCCCUUAGGGGAUCGGGAUGUAGCUGGGGGCGGAUUUUGGCCUCCCGUGCGCCUCAGCGCGCGCGGUUGGCCUAAAUUUCAGCUCACGGCGAGGAUCGCCACGACAAGCGGUGGUUUUUUGAACUAAGGACCUCGGGUGUUGUCGUGCGGCCUCGCGGAGAGAAGGAACCCUCGUGCGCUAGCGCACACUCUUAACGAGACCCCAGGUCAGUCGGGAACACCCGCUGAAUUUAAGCAUAUCAAUAAGCGGAGGA
rnacentral:misc_RNA from 1 species